UCGCAUCAUCCCAAUGCCGGAAKAGGUGGUCGUGCUGUGACAACCGGCYUGAGAACGAAAAUUGUUGGAUACAGAAUCACGGUGUGCCCACCGUGUCACCGGCGAGAAGCAGUCUGGCGGCCGAAAGGCUGCUGGUUCUUCCACGUCGUUGGCGUAUGGGUGCAAACAAUAUGGGAUAUAUAGUGCCUGUUCUCGCGCUCUGUGGACUUUCGGUCGUCGUCCUCAUAGCAGACCCGUUGUGCUAAGCACGAUGGGAUGCUCGGGCUUCUUGACCGUUGUGGCUACGCUGGCGCAUGAGAUGUUGUGGACAUGUGGCUGCCUGGAGGCCCCCCGUCGUUGUGCGGCCGACUCCAGGUGCAGUGUCCUUUCAAUUGUAUGGGUUUCAAAACCUGUGUCGUUGACGAGUGCUUGCGUUCUGCUACCCGUUCUGCGGGAAGUAGAGCUUCGUACAACUUGCCUUCGUCGCGUGCGCCCUUUGGGCGUGUCGCGUCGAUCACCUAGCGCUUGCGGUGUUGCCUCGCGGCGUCAGCCAUCUAGGCCGGCAUCGUCUAGGACACCUCGCAAUC
rnacentral:misc_RNA from 1 species